CCCGCGGCGCCCCGGUUGGCGUUUCCGAGGGGCGGGGCGGGGCCUGGCAGCGCCUAUGGCCUUCGCCCGCCGCCCGCGCGCCCCACUGCCGCUCGGACGCCUUUGGGGCUCGCAGCGUGGGGCCUGCGCCCGGGCCAUGGCGCUGCCGCGCCGCUUCGCCCUGGAGUUGCCCGGCUGCACCGUGGCGCACUUCGCGGUCGGCGACGGCGUCCCCGGGGCUCGCAGCGACCUCCAGGGCCUGGCCACGCUCCUGGGCCCCCCGGGCCGCAGCUACUCAGUGUGCGUGCCCGGGCCGCCGGGCGGGGACUGCGCGGCGCGGGUGCGCGCGGCCCGGCUGCACCAGCGCCUGCUGCGCCAGCUGCGCCGCGACCCCCUCCAGCGGUGCCAGCUGCGCCGGCUGCUCGGCUACUGGCCCGGCGGCGGGGCGGGCGGCGUGCAGAACGGCUUCCUGCUCCACGACCCCAGUGACAGCCCCGACACCCGGCGCGCGCUGUUCGCGCUGCUGGGCGCGCACCCGGAGGCCCCGCGCCUGGGCGAGUUCGUGGGCGACGAGAACCGCCAGGUGUGGCAGCGCCUGUGGGAGCUGCGGGACGGCGCGGGGUGGCAGCAGGUGGGCCAGGAGCCCGUGGUGGCCGCCCCCGAGCCCGACCUGCACCCGGCGGUGCCCGACCUGCCCAGCUCCGCCGUCUUCCCCCACCGGGCAGCCGCCCGCGCCGUGCUGGAGGCGUGCACACCCUUCAUUCCCGAAGCCCAGGCAGUGCUGGACCUGGUCGACCAGUGCCCAGAACAGCUCCAGAAAGGAGAGUUCCCCGUUAUUGCCAUCGAAGGGCUGGAUGCCACAGGUAAAACCACCGUGACCCAGUCAGUGGCAGAGUCGCUCAAGGCAGUGCUCCUGAAGUCACCACCUGCUUGCAUCAGCCAGUGGAGGGAGAUCUUUGAUGAUGAGCCCACUAUCAUUAGAAGGGCUUUUUACUCCUUGGGCAAUUACAUCGUGGCUUCUGAAAUAGCAAAAGCAUCUACCACAUCUCCUGUGAUUAUAGACAGUACUAGGAACUCUUCAGCCAAGCUAUCCUGGUUUCAACAUCCUCGGCAACUGAUUUUCAAGUGCGAUCUUGACUUCUGCCGACGGAGCGCUCACCACUCCUCUCCUCCUCAGGUACUGGCACAGCACGGCCACCUACGCCAUAGCCACCGAGGUGAGUGGGGGUCUGCAGCACCUGCCCCCGGCCCACCACCCCAUAUACCAGUGGCCAAGGGACCUGCUCAAACCCGACCUGGUGCUGCUGCUCACCGUCAGUCCCGAGGAGAGAAGGCAGAGGAUUGAGGGCCGGGGCUUGGAGAGGACCAAAGAGGAGGCUGAGCUGGAGGCCAACAGCGUAUUUCGGCAAAAGGUGGAAGUGUCCUACCGGCGGAUGGAGAGCCCUGGCUGCUGUGUGGCUGAUGCCAGUCCCUCCAAAGAAGAGGUCCUCCAGACGGUUUUGAGCAUAAUCCACAAUAAUUGUAAUUAAGUAUAAUUACUCCUGGCCAGGAGACAUGUUUUCUUAGAUUUGAAGUUGGCUGAUAUAGCUCAGCCCACAAUUGAUUAUGUGGUUUUCCCAGAAUUCUACUGCACAAGAAUUCUGUGUGGCAGAAAAUUGGAGUUGAGACAUUUCCAUUUUACUUAGACCUUUGUACUCACUUCUGGCUGAUGGACCCGUCAAAGCUGAGACUGGUCAUGUUUCAGCCAGAGACCUGUGAUGCUUUCUGCCCACAUAACAAACAUUGUCUUGGAAUAUAUUUUUAACUACAACCCUACCAGUCCUUCCACGGUUUGCUCAUCCAGAGAGCAUGAGGGGUGCAGAAGCAGGCUGAAGUUCUUCCAAACCAGCAGAAGCCCCUCCAGCCUGUCCCAUGCCUACACCUGGCUCACUGAUGAGACUUUGGCAUGGUCAGAGUUGACAUCUUUCCAACCUGGCUGUACUCCGUCGUGAGGAGCUCAGCACCAGUCCUAGCGCCACGCACUCCAAAGACCAUGUCUGGGUGUCCUGGCUGUCGCUGUCUUCUGGGUGGGGGGAACGCUUACAAAGAAGGCAUCUGACUUGUGUCCGAAACUUACAACCCCUGAGAUGGUCCUCUCGGUUAGCACUUCAGAGUCAAACAGAGAGACAGUUAACCCAAGAUGCUCUAAGUACAAAUACACCAACCUUCUUUGAAUUAUAUGCUGCUUAUUUAUAUUCCUUUCCUUUCCUCUAAAAACGCGGCUUUGGAUAUAAUGAGUGUUUUGCCUUGAAGUCGAUGAAUGAAACUUAGCCAACCCCGCAGUGUAUUCAUAUAUUUACAUCAUGAUUCCUCUGGGUGGGGGCUAUGCGUCACUAAUUACAAUUGAAGCCAAAAAGCUAAAUGCAGUGCUUAUAUAUUUUCAUUACACAGAUUUAAUCUAUCUAACUAAGUAAGCACAGUGCAUCCUGGGAUGGGAUUUCUUAGUAAAUUGUCUUGUCCUUGAAUGUCUUCUGAUUGCACACGAAAUCAGCUUUGAGAUCUGUUUGGUUAGAAAGAAAAUAGCUGAGAAAAGAGGGAACUGGAUAACUGCAGCCUUGGUAGAGUCGUUUAACAUCAAUAACUUGGCCUAAUGACUGAUAAUUCUUUCUUUGUCUUGAGGAGUUGGCUGAACAGGUGAUUGCCUAAAAUUCUAGUUCUCAUACAGACGGAUCUAUAAAUUAUUGCAUGAGCCUCAAGAAGAUGCUCUCUCCAAAUAAUUAAAUUUAAGGCCUUUCAAGUUUUAGCAUCUGGAACCUUAUAUUAUAAUGAACUUUAAUAUUAAGUCUAUCAUACUAUUCUUCAAAAGAAUUGUAGGCAAUUUUUAUGUAAUAUAUCUGCACAUAUAAAUAUGUAAUUGGUUUCAGUUGAAAAUAUUUUUUAAAGCUGAUAAAUAGCAUCAGGGACCUUUAAGAUAUGAUACGGAAUUAUAUUAUUGGUGAUACUUACCUAAACGUUCUGGAAAGCUUGUGCUGGCGGCCUAGGAACACAGACACUGAACACUUCGUGUGCCUUGCAAAUGAAUAAACUCGCUGUGAUUUCCU